GCAUGAAUCCUAAUACGAUUCAUGUUUGACGGUACCUAGAAAGGAAGCCCCGGCUAACUCUGUGCCAGCAGCCGCGGUAAUACAGAGGGGGCAAGCGUUAUUCGGAAUUAUUGGGCGUAAAGGGUGCGUAGGCGGUUUUCUAAGUCAGAUGUGUAAUCCCCGAGCUCAACUUGGGAACUGCAUCUGAAACUGGGAGACUAGAGUACUGGAGAGGAUGGUGGAAUUCCACGUGUAGCGGUGAAAUGCGUAGAGAUGUGGAGGAACACCAGUGGCGAAGGCGGCCAUCUGGACAGUAACUGACGCUGAAGCACGAAAGUGUGGGUAGCAAACAGGAUUAGAUACCCUGGUAGUCCACACCGUAAACGAUGAACACUUGGUGUAGUGGGAGUUGACCCCCACUGUGCCGUAGCUAACGCGAUAAGUGUUCCGCCUGGGGAGUACGGUCGCAAGGCUGAAACUCAAAUGU
rnacentral:rRNA from 1 species